rnacentral:rRNA from 1 species
GACGAACGCUGGCGGCGUGCUUAACACAUGCAAGUCGAACGGAAAGGCCCUGCUUUUGUGGGGUGCUCGAGUGGCGAACGGGUGAGUAACACGUGAGUAACCUGCCCUUGACUUUGGGAUAACUUCAGGAAACUGGGGCUAAUACCGGAUAGGAGCUCCUGCUGCAUGGUGGGGGUUGGAAGUUUCGGCGGUUGGGGAUGGACUCGCGGCUUAUCAGCUUGUUGGUGGGGUAGUGGCUUACCAAGGCUUUGACGGGUAGCCGGCCUGAGAGGGUGACCGGCCACAUUGGAACUGAGAUACGGCCCAGACUCCUACGGGAGGCAGCAGUGGGGAAUAUUGCACAAUGGGCGGAAGCCUGAUGCAGCAACGCCGCGUGCGGGAUGACGGCCUUCGGGUUGUAAACCGCUUUCGCCUGUGACGAAGCGUGAGUGACGGUAAUGGGUAAAGAAGCACCGGCUAACUACGUG